UUCCCGGAUGUUUAGCGGCGGACGGGUGAGUAACACGUUGGGUAACCUGCCUGUAAGAACUGGGAUAACUCCGGGAAACCGGAGCUAAUACCGGAUAGUUCCUUGAACCGCAUGGUUCAAGGAUGAAAGACGGUUUCGGCUGUCACUUACAGAUGGACCCGCGGCGCAUUAGCUAGUUGGUGGGGUAAUGGCUCACCAAGGCGACGAUGCGUAGCCGACCUGAGAGGGUGAUCGGCCACACUGGGACUGAGACACGGCCCAGACUCCUACGGGAGGCAGCAGUAGGGAAUCUUCCGCAAUGGACGAAAGUCUGACGGAGCAACGCCGCGUGAGUGAUGAAGGUUUUCGGAUCGUAAAGCUCUGUUGUUAGGGAAGAACAAGUGCGAGAGUAACUGCUCGCACCUUGACGGUACCUAACCAGAAAGCCACGGCUAACUACGUGCCAGCAGCCGCGGUAAUACGUAGGUGGCAAGCGUUGUCCGGAAUUAUUGGGCGUAAAGGGCUCGCAGGCGGUUUCUUAAGUCUGAUGUGAAAGCCCCCGGCUCAACCGGGGAGGGUCAUUGGAAACUGGGAAACUUGAGUGCAGAAGAGGAGAGUGGAAUUCCACGUGUAGCGGUGAAAUGCGUAGAGAUGUGGAGGAACACCAGUGGCGAAGGCGACUCUCUGGUCUGUAACUGACGCUGAGGAGCGAAAGCGUGGGGAGCGAACAGGAUUAGAUACCCUGGUAGUCCACGCCGUAAACGAUGAGUGCUAAGUGUUAGGGGGUUUCCGCCCCUUAGUGCUGCAGCUAACGCAUUAAGCACUCCGCCUGGGGAGUACGGUCGCAAGACUGAAACUCACAGGAAUUGACGGGGGCCCGCACAAGCGGUGGAACAUGUGGUUUAAUUCGAAGCAACGCGAAGAACCUUACCAGGUCUUGACAUCCUCUGACAACCCUAGAGAUAGGGC
rnacentral:rRNA from 1 species